CAGCAGCCACGGGAAUACGUAGGGUGCAAGCGUUAAUCGGAAUUACUGGGCGUAAAGCGUGCGCAGGCGGUUAUAUAAGACAGAUGUGAAAUCCCCGAGCUUAACUUGGGAACUGCAUUUGAAACUGGCAAGCUAGAGUCUUGUAGAGGGGGGUAGAAUUCCAGGUGUAGCGGUGAAAUGCGUAGAGAUCUGGAGGAAUACCGGUGGCGAAGGCGGCCCCCUGGACAAAGACUGACGCUCAGGUGCGAAAGCGUGGGGAGCAAACAGGAUUAGAUACCCGCGUAGUCCCUGUCUCUUAUAC
rnacentral:rRNA from 1 species